CCUACGGGUGGCAGCAGUGGGGGAUAUUGCACAAUGGGGGAAAGCCUGACGCAGCGACGCCGCGUGGGGGAUGAAGGUCUUCGGAUCGUAAACCUCUGUCAGCAGGGAAGAACGGUCACUGUGCUAAUCAGCAGUGAAUUGACGGUACCUGCAAAGGAAGCACCGGCUAACUCCGUGCCAGCAGCCGCGGUAAUACGGAGGGUGCGAGCGUUAAUCGGAAUUACUGGGCGUAAAGCGCGCGUAGGCGGUAUGUCAAGUCAAGGGUGAAAUCCCCGCGCCCAACCGGGGGACUGCCUUUGAAACUGGGCAACGGGAGUGCGUGAGAGGAAGGUGGAAUUCCAGGUGGAGGGGUGAAAUUCGGAGAUAACUGGAGGAAAACCAGUGGCGAAGGCGACCUGCUGGACUACAACUGACGUUGAGGAGCGAAAGCGUGGGUAGCAAACAGGAUUAGAUACCCGGGUAGUC
rnacentral:rRNA from 1 species